AUACUUACCUGGCAGGGGAGAUACCAUGAUCAUGUAGGUGGUUCACCCAGGGCGAGGCUCAGCCAUUGCACUGAGGCUGUCUGACCUCUGCGAAUUCCCCAAAUGUGGGAACCUCGACUGCGUAAUUUCUGGUAGUGGGGGACUGCGUUCGCGCUCUCCCCUG
rnacentral:snRNA from 1 species